rnacentral:lncRNA from 1 species
CAGCAUCUUACCAAAGCUUCGAGCCCUGCAGUUGGGGAUUCCCGCCCGGGGAAGACGCCGCUGCGGAGCUCUGCACGUCCGGUGGGGGUCAGGCUGUGAUGCCCGUCCCGGUGGGGGUCAGGCCGUGCUGCGCGUCCCGGUGGGGGUCAGGCUGUGCUGCGCGUCCCGGUGGGGGUCAGGCCGUGAUGCCCGUCCCGGUGGGGGUCAGGCUGUGCUGCGCGUCCCGGUGGGGGUCAGGCUGUGCUGCUCGUCCCGGUGGGGACCGUCUUCGUGGGCGUCAGGCUGAGUCUCCCGGCACCAGGGCCCUGGAAACACACAACAGGGCAGGCAUUUAGUGCACACAAUGCAACUGUGAUGGGAAAGCAGGGUGAGCAGGGUGAGAUUUCCCAGGCGGCUGAACACAGAGACGGAAGGCAGAGAAGGCAGAAGAUGCAUCCGAGCCGGCCCAGACCGGACCCGUUUGUUCAAGGAAACCCCACGAUAUGGAGUCUCAGCGUGAAAAAAAAAACAAAAAAAACCAAAAAAACAAAACAAAAACCCACCACCACCAACAACAAAAACCCAUUUGCUCAAUCCUACCUUACUUCGGGCUAAAACUGAGGUCAGUCUGACCCUCAGAUACACACGGCACUUAGGAACCAUAACUCACCCGCCAUUAACUGCAUGGUGACACCACUGUGCAGUAAUG